UGGGGGAUCUUGGACAAUGGGGGCAACCCUGAUCCAGCGACGACGCGUGGGUGAUGAGGGCCUUAGGGUUGUAAACCCCCUUCACCGGGGAGGAUGAUGACGUUACCCGGAGAAGAAGCACCGGCUAACUCCGUGCCAGCAGCCGCGGUAAGACGGAGGGUGCUAGCGUUGUUCGGAAUCACUGGGCGUAAAGGGCGCGCAGGCGGUCUGGUCAGUCAGAUGUGGAAGCCCGGGGCUCAACCCCGGAAUUGCAUUUGAAACUCCCGGACUGGAGGACGAGAGAGGAAAGUGGAAUACCCAGUGUAGAGGUGAAAUUCGUAGAUAUUGGGUGGAACACCAGUGGCGAAAGCGGCUUUCUGGCUCGAUCCUGACGCUGAGGCGCGAAAGCGUGGGGAGCAAACAGGAUUAGAUACCCCGGUAGUCC
rnacentral:rRNA from 1 species